rnacentral:rRNA from 1 species
GACGAACGCUGGCGGCGUGCCUAAUACAUGCAAGUCGAACGCAGUGGGGACAGGUGAGUAACACGUGGGUAACCUCCCAUCAGAGGGGAUAACACUUGGAAACAGGUGCUAAACCGAUACUGAUGGAUGGACCCGUUGGGCAUUAGCUGGUUGGUGAGGUAACGGCUCACCAAGGCCACGAUGCCUAGAUGGGCUGAGAGGGUGAUCAGCCACACUGGGACUGAGAAACGGCCCAGACUCCGACGGGAGGCAGCAGUAGGGAAUAUUCGACAAUGGGCGCAAGUCUGAUGGAGCAACGCCGCGUGAAUGAAGAAGGUUUUCGGAUGGUAAAGUACUUUUGUUAGAGAAGCGGUAUCUACAGAGGAAGCAACGGCUAACUCCGUGCCAGCAGCCGCGGUAAUUC